ACUGUCCACCAAUUUGACUUGCGGAGGUGUCCUCUGUUUGUUUCCCGAGAAAACACUCACAUUUUGCUAGGAAACUCUCAAUCUCUGACAUUGGACUCACGUUCUAAUUAUCCACGUUUUCUCUUUGUUUCUCUUCAACUUUCCUUCCAACCUAACCCAACCUUUUGCUCUUUGUCGUUUACUUAUCAACUUCUACCUCCUCUUCUGCUUUCUCUUUCUACGAUUCUUACAAUACGUUCCCCUCUUAACUUUUGAAUUCGUGAAAAUUUCCUGCUUUCUCAUUGGUUUCCGAUUCCGAGAAAAUUCAACAAUACAGCUUAUAUUGUGAAACAUGUGUGCAUUGAGCAUGUGAGGUUCAAUGAAGGAGAAGAUUAGGGUUUCAACUGUAACAAAGAGUAAAGCGAAAUGGAAUCUGGAAAAGGAGUGCCUGAGAAGAAAGGAACUAAUGCAAAUGAUGUCGUACUACACAUUUCAGAAGCUGAAGAAGCUCCUUUUACUAAGCUGGAAUCUUCAAAUACUGAAGGAACAGAGUUGCAGAAUCUGAGAUGCAGAGACCAGGCAUCCACAUUUACAAGCUCACCCUCUCCAGAAAUUGUAACUUCGAAUCCAACUUUAAAUAAGCCUCCUAAAAUCCCAGCUCAGUUCUUAACUCAGAGAAAAUCACUUGCAAGAUCCGAGUUUUCGAAGCCCAAAUCAAGAUUGGUUGAACCUCAUAAUCCCAAUGAUGCUAAAGUGGUUGAAGAGAAACCAGCGUUGGUGACUUCAAGCUCCCCCUACAGGAACUCACCAAACGUUACCACUCCAAAAGAGAACUUGAAAUCAACUCCUGUUACACCAAGAACACCUUUGAUUGGAAGUCCAGGAGAUGAGGAUGAGGAGGAUGAGGAUGAAGAUGUUUACAAGAGUAGUCUUAAAGUGAGUAAAAAGAAGGGUAAGAAAAUGAAAUUUUUUGUCAUAAUUGAGUGGAUUUUAUUGAUAGGUAUAACAGGCUUUUUAGUUGCUAGCUUGACAGUGAAUAAAUUGCAACACCGCGUGAUUUGGGGUUUACAGCUGUGGAAAUGGUGUGUGUUGAUAGUGGUGAUUUUUUGUGGUAGAUUGUUCACUGGAUGGUUUAUGAAUAUAUUGGUUUUCUCGAUUGAAAGGAACUUCUUGCUUAAGAAGAAGGUUCUGUAUUUUGUUUAUGGGUUGAGGAGGAGUGUCAGAGUUUUUGUUUGGCUAGGUUUGGUUCUCUUAGCUUGGGGCUUGUUGUUUAAUCAUGGAGUUAAGAGAUCAGAAAAAACUACUAAGAUUCUAAAUUAUAUUACUAGGGCUCUUGGUUCUUGUCUUAUUGCUUCGGCUAUAUGGUUGUUGAAGACUUUGUUAGUUAAGUUACUAGCUUCUUCUUUCCAAGCUACAAGAUUCUUUGAUCGGAUUCAAGAGUCAAUCUUUCAUCAAUAUAUACUUAAGACUCUGUCGGGACCUCCAUUAAUGGAGAUGGCUGAACAAGUUGGGAGAUCAAAUGCUCCUGGGCAGUUGAGUUUCAUGAGUAUAAGAAAAGAAAAUAAACAGCAAAAUGAGGAGGUGAUUGAUGUGGAAAAGCUGAAAAAGAUGAAGCAAGAGAAAGUUUCUGCUUGGACCAUGAAAGGGUUAAUUAAUGUCAUAAGUGGCUCAGGCCUGUCUACUAUCUCAAAUGCACUUGACAAUUACGAGGAUGAGGAGGGUGAGCAGAAAGAUAAGGAGAUUACUAGUGAAUGGGAAGCAAAGGCUGCUGCAUAUCAGAUUUUUAGGAAUGUGGCCAAGCCUCGUAGCAAGUACAUUGAUGAGGAGGACUUAUUGCGCUUCAUGAAAAAGGAGGAGGUGGACAAUAUGAUUCCACUGUUUGAAGGAGCAGCAGAAACAAGAAAAAUCAAGAGGUCCACUUUUAAGAACUGGGUGGUAAAUGCUUACCUUGAACGAAAAUCUCUGGCACAUACCUUAAAUGACACCAAAACAGCCAUAGAAGAGCUGAACAAGCUUAUUUCAGGAGUUGUAGUUGUUGUGGCUAUUAUUGUGGGGUUGCUUAUUAUGGGAUUUUUAACAACCCAGAUACUUGUAUUCAUUUCAUCCCAACUCUUACUUGUGGCAUUCAUGUUUGGUAACACUGCCAAGACUAUAUUUGAAGCCAUCAUAUUUGUGUUUGUGAUGCACCCAUAUGAUGUAGGCGAUAGAUGUGUCAUUGAUGGAGUGCAGAUGAUCGUUGAGGAGGUGAACAUUUUGACGACAGUCUUUUUGAGAUUUGACAAUGAGAAAAUAUUCUAUCCCAAUUCGGUUUUAGCUACAAAACCCAUCAGCAACUUUUACAGAAGCCCAGAGAUGAGUGAUUCUGUGGAGUUCUCUAUUGAUGUUUCAACGUCAUUUGAGAAUAUUGGAGCUCUAAAAUCUAAAAUAAAAGCUGGUAGCUGUUGAUGUUCAUAGAGAAACUCACUCCCACUCAACGUGUGUGAAACUUAGGAUACUAAGUUGAUGUCUUGAAGAAUUUUCACACUACUCAAGAAGCAAAGCUGAGUAGCCCUAACACAUAUAUCUUCCUUAGAUAUUAGUCACCACUGUUGUCUUUUCUUUCUUGGUUCUUAUCUGUCUUUCCAAGUUAACUGCUAAGCAGUGAGCUUUAAUAAAGUAGAAGCGCACACAAUAAUGGUUUCAUGUAUGAUGCAUGUUCUUGUAGGUUUUACAGAAUGACUUAGUUUCAGGCUGUGGUUCUUAAUUCAAUAUUGGGACUAUGGAAGCCAGACCUAAACCGACUCUUGUACAGCUUUACAGUGACAUAAGAUUAUUUACUAUUGUAUUCAUAAAUGGUACUUGGAGAGCAAGCCACAACACUGGCGUCCAGGUCACAGUGUGGUGGUUAAGGACAUUGAGGAUGUGAACAAGAUGAAAAUGGGUCUCUACGUUACACACACUAUAAACUUUCAGAACUAUG